CUUGCGGCUGCUAUGAUGCAGUCGAACGGUCUUUUCUAUGGAAGCUUGCUUCCACUGAGAAGAUAGUGGCGGACGGGUGAGUAACACGUGGGUAACCUGCCCAUAAGAGGGGGAUAACAUCCGGAAACGGGUGCUAAUACCGCAUAGUUUUCUUGAUCGCAUGAUCGAGAAAGGAAAGACGGCCUUUGUGCUGUCGCUUAUGGAUGGACCCGCGGCGUAUUAGUUAGUUGGUGAGGUAACGGCUCACCAAGACGAUGAUACGUAGCCGACCUGAGAGGGUGAUCGGCCACAUUGGGACUGAGACACGGCCCAAACUCCUACGGGAGGCAGCAGUAGGGAAUCUUCCGCAAUGGACGAAAGUCUGACGGAGCAACGCCGCGUGAGUGAAGAAGGUUUUCGGAUCGUAAAACUCUGUUGUCAGAGAAGAACAAGUCGGAGAGUAACUGCUCCGGCCUUGACGGUAUCUGACCAGAAAGCCACGGCUAACUACGUGCCAGCAGCCGCGGUAAUACGUAGGUGGCAAGCGUUGUCCGGAUUUAUUGGGCGUAAAGCGAGCGCAGGCGGUUCCUUAAGUCUGAUGUGAAAGCCCACGGCUCAACCGUGGAAGGUCAUUGGAAACUGGGGAACUUGAGUGCAGAAGAGGAGAGUGGAAUUCCAUGUGUAGCGGUGAAAUGCGUAGAUAUAUGGAGGAACACCAGUGGCGAAGGCGACUCUCUGGUCUGUAACUGACGCUGAGGCUCGAAAGCGUGGGGAGCAAACAGGAUUAGAUACCCUGGUAGUCCACGCCGUAACGAUGAGUGCUAAGUGUUGGAGGGUUUCC
rnacentral:rRNA from 1 species